CCUGCCUGUCGGUUGCCACAUGAACCCUCUGUGAUGUUUAGCAGUCUGGUGCCUGCCUGUUUGAUGUGGUUUGGCUGAUUCCAAGGUUCCCUAUCUGGAGUGGCAUGAUGUAUUGUUCCUUACAGAGCACCCUGUGUUAAGGUAUGAGAAGCUUAAGGAGCAACAAGUAGGGUAUGAUAACUACCUGAGGUAACUGUUAUUUACUUUUAUAAAGCUGUUGCUAAUAUGGGUUUUUAAUUGUAGGUUGUCAGCAGCUGUUUUUCCUUUUGUUAACUAGGAUUUUUAACCAUUAUUGCUGGUACGCUCUGGCUGUAGUGCCUCCAGCCGGCACUCCCCUAGUUGACUAUGCUUGUAUUUUAGAUAUAACCAACUGGUCUAUUGUGUUUUAUUUAACUUGUUUUAUUCUUUUCAGUGGUUCUAGUGGUCGGCUUAUGGUGGAGGCUAGGCACGCUAGUAUGGGUUCCUUUACUGAUUGUAGUGUUAACGGCACUGGGACACAAUUUGGUAGUGACACGAUUUGCAGUGACUAUCUACUGCAGUGGGCACAUGCGGUGGGUAAGUUGAUGCACAGCUGGUCCUGGCCCAAUCUGCCUUUUUGUUUGGUUCAAUAAUUGGUAAUAACUGGUGUCUUGUUAAAAAUAAAAGUAACUUGUUUGCCAAAUUUAAUAAACCUUCAUAUUCCAUGGUAAUUUGAUUAUUGUAGUAUUCACCAUCCUCUUUUCAGGCACUUCCAGUUACAGAUUAUCAAUAAAUAAAUUAUUCACUUGGA